rnacentral:lncRNA from 10 species
UUGAAUCCUUUUACUGGACUCCUUAGAUUCCUCAGUGUGGCUAAGCUGUCACUUAUGCCACAAGAUGGAAGCAGAGGAGCCUCACCCUGUAGCUACUACCAACCGAGGCCAUGCUUCCACAGUGGUGUAACAAGGCAAUGGGAAUUCACUCCACAAAUCCCAGUACCACAAGAAGUUAUCUGUAAGGUCUCCAGGGAUGAGAUAAUCUACAUAUUUCCUCAUGUCUGUUAUAAUGGCAUUCUAGCCCAACAUAAUCAUGUCCAUCUCUUGGAAUGCAUUGUGUAGACUUUAACUUAUAUGGUUCUGCUCUACUAAUGAAGUCAGUCUCUUUAAAAAAUGUUCAGAGAAACUAAUAAAGGAUUAUAAGCAACAAAAGGAUACGGCCUAAGCCAAGUCAAGCCAUUCUUGCUAUCAAUUCUGGAACAAAUAUAUUAAUGAUAUUCCUGUGUCUCUAAUUUUAUAUAACAAACAGACAAUCAUUCUUCCAUCAUUUCUAUUUCCUUUUUUUUUUUUUUUUUUUUUUGAGAUGAAGUCUUGUUCUGUUGCCCAGGCUGGAGUGCAGUGGCAUGAUCUCGGCUCACUGCCACCUCCACUUCCUGAGUUCAAGUGAUUCUUCUGCCUCAGCCUCCCGAGUAGCUGGGACUAGUGCCGCCAUGCCUGGCUAAUUUUUUAUUUUUAUUUUUUUGUAUUUUUAGUAGAGAUAGGGUUUCACCAUGUUAGCCAGGAUGGUCUCGAUCUCCUGACCUCGUGAUCCACCUGCCUUGGCCUCCCAAAGUGCUGGGAUUACAGGUGUGAGCCACCGCACGUGGCCUCUUCCAUCAUUUCUUUGACCAUGCCUAGGGACCAUCAGUAACCCUAAUGAAAAAUGAUCUUUGUUCUUUUCUGCUUUUGCUUAGUGCUGGUUUUUGGCUCUUCUAAUCAAAUGAGUCAUUCCUGGAAUGUUCAGUUUGUUUUAUGGUUGUGGCACUCCAGGAAAGCAGGGCAGUUCACCUGCCCCAUUCCACAGCUGACUGUAGCUGAGAAAGCUCCCAACAUCUGUGUCUAUAAUAAAAAGCCUGCAAAAGGAAAAUAAAUCAUGUUUCCACCUCCAUUUUUUCCUGCACAUUAAAGGCUGAUCACUGAAAGUCAUGAUCUUGGCUCUGAAUUGGGUUGCAGCAUUUGAUCUGAUGGCACACAAAGCGAGAUCAAUAUCUGCCACCAUAAAAAGUCAAUGAAACAUAAAUUAGGAAGAGAAAAUUUUCUAACUCUGGCCCCAAGCAGUGACUAGUUGGGUGCAAGCCAUACAUUUGGGCAAUGAAAAAAGAAAGCAGCUUUACUUAACAGCAGGGUAGACUAUACUAGGAUUAUAUUUUGUGCUAUUCCUACUUCUCUUUAUUGAUCUGCAUAUAAUGAAUUGAAGCAUGAUGAUUCUCUCUCCAAAGUUACUCAAGAGUUUACUAAAAUGUUAUCAGAAAGUUUCUAACUGUGGCUAUAAAAGUAUGUGAAACCAAUCCAGGCACUGGUGACUGCUGACUAUAAGCAUUUUGAUAAUAUAAGAUGAUAUUGGUCAGCCCAAGACAAGGUCUUAUCUGACAUCUGUAAGAAUGUUUUAAAGUUGUAAUUCAGUUGGCUGUUGAGAAACAAAUGUGUCUCCUCUCUGUCCUUGAUUU